GCAGCACGGACUUCGGUCUGGUGGCGAGUGGCGAACGGGUGAGUAUUGUAUCGGAACGUGCCCAGUAGCGGGGGAUAACUACGCGAAAGCGUAGCUAAUACCGCAUACGCCCUACGGGGGAAAGCAGGGGAUCGCAAGACCUUGCACUAUUGGAGCGGCCGAUAUCGGAUUAGCUAGUUGGUGGGGUAACGGCUCACCAAGGCGACGAUCCGUAGCUGGUUUGAGAGGACGACCAGCCACACUGGGACUGAGACACGGCCCAGACUCCUACGGGAGGCAGCAGUGGGGAAUUUUGGACAAUGGGGGAAACCCUGAUCCA
rnacentral:rRNA from 1 species